CUUGCAACAUUGGAAUUUCAUAAAUGCACGAAUGGCUUGGCGCGCAAAAGAUCAUCCCUGGGUGAGGACGCUUGAUCACGUGCUGGUCGUAGAGACACGAUCAGGUGUGUCAGAGCGAGCCUCGGCUCAGCUAGUGCAGGUUUGGAUGCUCUCGCAGCUUUGUCUUUGUGACUCUCCUAAAGUGAAGGUAGCAGCGCUCUGAUCAGCAGCAGCUGCAGUGUCACUUCACCUGGGAUCUGAAGAAGGAGGACGUGGACCUGGAAAACCUGAGCGCCUGACUGCAGACUGACAUAGAGCUUCAGCAGAGACAGCGUGAGGGAGCUGGCCGCUCCUACAGCUUCUUGGCUUAUGUCAGGACUCAGAUAGAGAAGAGCAGUGCUAACGUUAGCCAGGAGAAAGCCAGCGCAGGCUUGGAUCCUGAAAACCAAAUGAUCCCUCUAUGAAUUGGAUGUCCUGCUGAUGCUGACCACAGUUUUCUUUGACGGUCUCUCUUGUUACCUUGUCUCCAAUGUUACCUAACAGCAGCUUUCCUGCUAACACAGCUGCUGUCUGGAGCACAUAAGACUGACUCAGACAGUUAGCUGGCCAGUCUCACAUUUAACAGCCAUCACCAGAUUCAUGCAGCACAGCAAAGCUACAGCUAGCACAAAACUUUGGCUUGCUUUAUGUUUACCUCAGAGAAAAACUAGAGUGCUGGACUUGACAAAGUAAUACAUUCCUAAGCUGGCACUGUCUGAUACAAAUCUGCCUCCUGAAGCUAGUUUGGGCUCAUUAUUCUGGUGUAAAUGCAGGAAGGGUAAUCACCUGCAGACCCCGGGGUCAAGAACCUCAGCUAAAAACCUCGAUUCAGUCAUCAACAAGUGUUGAGCCUUGUUUCUUAUCAGAUGUUGUAAAAUUCUUCAGGUUCAAUAAGUGCUGUGUGACUUUUGUUGAAAACCAGCAUCAGCUGUAUUCUUUCUAAGUGCAGCUGGCAGAAGUUUUACUCUAGCAAAAUGUGAUUUUAAGUAUAGAAAAAGAUGUGACAAACCUCUGAUGACCUGUUGGUCCUCAGACAUCCUGAAGAUACUGUAACUGUCCCUGAGAAAGUUAAAAUAUGGUUGGUUGUUUCGUAUGUUUCUGUGAUGGAUUCAUGCUUGGUUUAGUUCAUUUAUUUAUAAGAUAAGAUGAUAAAAGUGUAACAUUGAUUAAAAAACAUGUCUAAAAUA